UAGGGAAUCUUCCGCAAUGGGCGAAAGCCUGACGGAGCAACGCCGCGUGAGUGAUGAAGGUCUUCGGAUCGUAAAACUCUGUUAUUAGGGAAGAACAAAUGUGUAAGUAACUAUGCACGUCUUGACGGUACCUAAUCAGAAAGCCACGGCUAACUACGUGCCAGCAGCCGCGGUAAUACGUAGGUGGCAAGCGUUAUCCGGAAUUAUUGGGCGUAAAGCGCGCGUAGGCGGUUUUUUAAGUCUGAUGUGAAAGCCCACGGCUCAAACGUGGAGGGUCAUUGGAAACUGGAAAACUUGAGUGCAGAAGAGUAAAGUGGAAUUCCAUUUGUAGCGGUGAAAUGCGCAGAGAUAUGGAGGAACACCAGUGGCGAAGGCGACUUUCUGGUCUGUAACUGACGCUGAUGUGCGAAAGCGUGGGGAUCAAACAGG
rnacentral:rRNA from 1 species